ACUGUGGGCCAGAGAGAGGGAAGUCAGAAGCUAGGACCCUUGGCCCCUUCUCUCCUGAACUUCUGCUUCCCUUACUGCCCCAUGUUAUGAGAUGAGGGAUGCCCAGCCCCGGUGCCAAAAAGGAAGGGCGAAGAACCAGAGGGCAAGGAGGCAGCUGUGGUUGUAUGGGGUCGGGAAGGUGGAAAGGCAGAAGCACAGAUGAGGUUCCAAGCUGGCCACAGGAGAUGAGCUGGAACGGGAGACGGAGAGGGUCAGGUGAGGCCAGAGCUGGACGGAUGGUUGGCAGACAGGUGCAUGUGUGGGAUCUUGGGUGGACGAGACCAGGAGUGCAGGAUGAAGAUGCAUGACGAAUAGACUCAGACGAGGAACACAGUGGAUGGGCGGACACUCUCAAGCAGACAAACGGGCAUACGCGCUCACAGUGGCCCCCACCCCAGCCCCUAGUCCAGCCUGCUCCCUGUGCUGCUGCCCCAGGCUCAGGACCCUUGCUUCCCCCAGCGCCCUCCAGCGGCUGAGCACUUAAGCAGGAGGAUGGACAGACCGACGCUGUCACUCGCUCGCUCUCUGCUUAGACUGGAAGGUCACGUCUUCUUGAUAUAGGAAAGGGAGUGGAGGGGGCUGCUCCUCCUCCUGGACAGGGAUGGCUUCCUGAGAGCGAGAGGGCCGCACUACAGAAAGGGGAGUGUGUGAGUAGCUCCCCCUUCCUCCCCUUCCCACCACAGAUCAGGAAGUAAGCCAGGCAGAAGACCGGAGGUGCAGCUGAGACACGUGCAUGGUGCACUUACCUUCACUCUGCCCCUCAAAGUGAGGGCUAUGCUGAGAGGUGUCAGGGUGAUCCUGGGGGAGGGCUCUGGACAGGGGUGGGGAAGGGGGUGCAGCAUAGCCAACUAGAGGCAAGAAGGGAGAUGGUCAGAGCCUUCAUUUCCUCCUGGACCCCCAAUCCCAUGCCACUGUCCCAAACUCUUUACCUUCUUGGAGGUGGUGGGUGAGGUGCUCUGGCCCCAGCUCCUUCUGCCCUGGAGCCUUAAAGCCUGGAAGAGGAAAGGUGAGUCAGGGGGCAUUUUGAGGGGCCCUUUCCUGGCCCUGAGAAUGGGAAGGGGAGGAGGUGGAGGUCAAGAGCUUAAAAAGAUGACCAAGACACUAGAAGCUUCUCUGUAUUGUUCCUGCCCCACUUCCCUAAGCCACUGGCAACACACCUAGUCGUGACUGAGCGGGUUCUGAGAAACCCUGUGAUAAUCCUACAGCCUCACCUUUACCAGGCACGAAGCCUUGGGUCUCCCAAGUCCAGGCCUAAAGGGAAUGUGACACAUGGGGCUGGGGAGGAAGGCCUUAAUCUCCUGUCAGCAUCUUUCCCUCAGGGCUUCUGGGCUCUCCCCGGAGUCUGGACCUUAAAUUGGCUGGAGUUUCACCUGCCUGUCUCUUCCACCCUCCCACCUACUCCAGGUCCUUUAAACAUCUUUGGACUUUCUGAGGCUACAGAAGCAACAGCCAAACAGGCCAAGACCAAGGCUGCUCUGGACCUGGUCCCCAUCCUGGGGCAAGGACUGGUUGGCGGCCACCCAGGUAGGUCCUCAAAGGCAGAUCUGAUUUGAAGGGCUGGGCAGCUGGGAGCCUGCUUCUCCAGUCGCUCUGACUGCUGUUGUGAGCUUCAGGGCCGGUUCCCUCUCCUUUUUAUAUGGCUGUCUGGGGAUGGCUCCCGCCCUCCUCAGCUUCCUGCCGUGACUCAGGCCCAGCUGCUCCUCCUUCCAGACACUCCUUCCAAACUCACCCUGAAGCCUCCUGAGAGGAUUGAGAAGAAUGGAGGUGAACCCAACCCCAAGAGAAACUUAUUCUGAGAGUCAUGGAGCAUGAGGAGUCUGAGGCCUUAUUUCAGGCCUCAGUGCCUGCAUUUGCAGGCCGCUUCUGUGGAGAACGGAUCUGACACCCUGCUGGACUGGGACUGGGGAGACCGGGCACCGAGGAGAGGGACAGGGCAGCUACCCCGGGAGCUCCCCUACCAGUGAGAAGCCUGGGCUGUCCUCUUUCAAUUCCUCCAACCCCCAGGACAAAAGAGAGGGAGAAACUCAAAUUCCUUUUCAUGUCCCCAUCAGGAGUCAGAGAUGAAGACACACAUCCAGUAGCUUCAAGUUUAUUAUUUUUAGUUUCACUCUCCUCACAUCCAAACAGCGACAGCUCCCCUAGACCAAACCUCUUUUCUGGAGAGCAGAUUCAUGUCUACAUGAGUUCUGAGGGGCCCGGGGGACUCCAGACUCUGUCAGUUAGGUUGGGCUCUCCGGCGUUAAGCAGGGCUGGUGGCUCCUGCAGGUCUGAGCCACAUCUACAUACGGAUGCUCAGAACAUUUCUUCGGCAUUUGGGGCCCUGCUGUUCUGCAGCUCCAGGAGCCGCUGCGCAGCCUCCGCCAGGUCCCAUUCCCCAAGUUGACGGUUAUCUCGAGUCCGAAUGUUCACUGUUCUCUUAGUCUGCUCUUUCUGGCCAACCACUGCAGGAAGAGGGGAGGUUUGGGAAUCUCGGGGUAAAUUUAUCCAGAGGAUAUCUCCUUCUGCCAUGCAGAAAUGUCAGAGACCUAAACCUUGAGCAGGGGUGGGAGCUCGGACGUGGUUCCAGGAAAGGAUAUAUUUAGCUGUCUCUUGCUCGAGUUAGUUCUCUGCUCAUCCUGAAGAGAUAAUGGAAUGUUCCGGACAUUCUAUUACGUGUCUUAUCACUUCCACUCAGGAGCGCAGGAGUCAGAGAUAGGAGGGUCAGCCAAAGAGAGACAAACAGAUAAAGAAGCAGACACAAGAAACUGUGUGUGUACGUGUGUGGACGUUAGAGAAAGGGGAGGGCAGUGGAGUGGAGCACACACGUGCAGGUCCCCAGGGUCGCGGGGCGGCCUGCUCCCGGUGCCGGCUGUGCACAGCUAGAGUCAGGUAAUCCGGCUGAGAGGUUUCUGCUCCCUGCCUUCAGGACAGAGCUUUGAACCUCGGAAAAUGGAAAAGAGGAGCAAGGUAGGCCUAGACUUUUUUCCUUAACGCCUUUCUCAUCUCAUAGGGCUGGGUUGACUCCAUCUAGGUCUAGAAUAAACAAAGCUAAUUAAUGCCUUAUUAACUCUUCCUGUCCCUUUCUCUCUGAUGCUCCCUCGGUUAAUUAACCUAACAGACACCAAGAGCUAGGGCGGAGGUAAGAAGAAAACUGUCCUGAGGGUCAGAGGUGGCGGUCAGGGGAAGGAACCCAGGGCCCAGAUGUCUCAGGCACUCUGAACCCUGGCUCCUGCCCAGCCCAGGUAAUGAGCCCCAGUUAACCGAAAUAUGCAGACGACCAAACUCAAUAGAUAGGAAAGAAGAACACAGAGGCCAGGUGGAGGAGUGUAGGGCUCUGGGGGUCUGUGCUGCCAGGUCACUUACCGAAUAGAAAAUUGUAGUGGGCGAGCUGAGCCCGGCGGACUCUCCGGCCGAGAGUCAGCCCGGGGUCAGCAUCCAGGUCGGCGGCCAGUCCCACGGCUCGCAGGCUCUGCUGGGCCUGGGGCAGAGGAUCAGUGACAGCAACUUGAUUUAAUGGAGGGCUGAGGAGCUGGAACAGCCUGACGCUAAUUUUCCUCACGCUCCCCCAUUGGCUCCUCCUUCCUCUGCCUCAAGGCUCUCCAGUCCGCAGGGACGACCCCUCCUGACUCCCGGCCCCCGCAGCUUCCCUGUCUGCCUCCUGCUGGAGCUGAGCCCGCCAAGGCUUCCCUGGGCUCUGCCUGUUUCUAGGCUCCACUCUACCCAACCAGCUGCUCGGUUCUGGUACCAUUCAUAUCUUUCUCUCUAGAAAGGAAAAAUAAAACCAACAUUUUAUCGAA